CAGUCGCCGCGGUAAUACGAAGGGGGCUAGCGUUGUUCGGAUUUACUGGGCGUAAAGGGCGCGUAGGCGGACUGAUAAGUCAGGGGUGAAAUCCCAAGGCUCAACCUUGGAACUGCCUUUGAUACUGUUUGUCUUGAGUUCGAGAGAGGUAAGUGGAACUGCGAGUGUAGAGGUGAAAUUCGUAGAUAUUCGCAAGAACACCAGUGGCGAAGGCGGCUUACUGGCUCGAUACUGACGCUGAGGCGCGAAAGCGUGGGGAGCAAACAGGAUUAGAUACCCCUGUAGUCCCUGUCUCUUAUAC
rnacentral:rRNA from 1 species